GUUGGUGGGAGGAACCACUGGUGGUGGCUUUAAAACACUCAGAGGGGAUAAAACACACUGGUUUUAUUACAAAAUCCGAAGCUUACAAUUAACACAAAAACAAAAGCUUAAACACGCCCUCUCUCUCUCUUUCUCUUUCAAGUGUUUCUCACAAUUCUCUCCACACAUAUAACAUAAGCUGGGUACUCUAUUUAUAGACAAAAUCAGAAUACGAAAAUUCAAACUUUCUUCAAGUGUGAAGGCGGCUGUGGCAGCUGGUGGAGGCGGCUGGCGGCUGCGGCUGGUGGCUGGCGGCUGGUCGGUUGGUGGCUGGUCGGUGGCAGCUGGUGGUUGCCUUCCUUGACCAUCUAGAUGUUGAGUUUAAUUCAACAAAUCUCCCCCUUAAACUCAAUCGAGGGAUGUCAUGGCAAGCAUGAACACUUCUCCUUUCAAUGCCUUCUUUAUGCUUGUAGAUCCUUUUGACACCUAUUGCUUUCUUCUUUUCUGGUGGAUCCUUAUCUGCAUGGAAACAAAACAGAGUUGUAUCUUCCAUGACCUGAGUGGUAUCGUACAACUCUUCAAGAUUCCUCAUCCUUCUUGGUCCUUCUGAUGAGGAUGCUGAUGGUGGUGUUGAUGAUGAUGCUCCUGGUGUGUUCCUCCUGUUGAAUACAGGGAAACUGUGUACCGGACUUUGUGGUUCAGCUGCUGGUAUAAAC
rnacentral:lncRNA from 1 species